AUACGUAGGGGGCGAGCGUUGUCCGGAAUGAUUGGGCGUAAAGGGCGCGUAGGCGGCCCGGUAAGUCUGGAGUGAAAGUCCUGUUUUUAAGAUGGGAAUUGCUUUGGAUACUGUCGGGCUCGGGUGCAGGAGAGGUAAGUGGAAUUCCCAGUGUAGAGGUGAAAUGCGGAGAGAUUGGGAGGAACACCAGUGGCGAAGGCGACUUACUGGACUGUAACUGACGCUGAGGCGCGAAAGUGUGGGGAGCAAACAGGAUUAGAUACCCUGGUAGUCCACACUGUAAACGAUGAAUGCUAGGUGUAGGGGGCAUCGACCCCUUUUGUGCCGGAGUCAACACAAUAAGCAUUCCGCCUGGGGAGUACGGCCGCAAGGUUGAAACUCAAAUGAAUUGACGGG
rnacentral:rRNA from 1 species